GGAGUUUGGGCCGUGUCUCAGUCCCAAUGUGGCCGUUCACCCUCUCGGGCCGGCUACCCAUCAUCGCCACGGUGGGCCUUUACCCCGCCGUCUAGCUAAUGGGACGCGGACUCAUCCUAAAGCGGAGCCGUAGCUCCUUUCCCGCUCACAACAUCCGUCGUUCGCGUAUUAUCCGGUAUUAUCCUGACUUUCACCAGGCUAUCCCCGUCUAAAGGCCAGAUUAUCCACGUGUUACUCACCCGUCCGCCGCUCUCCAGGAGUUGCCCCCCUUCCCGCUCGACUUGCAUGCUUAAAACGCGCCGCCAGCGUUCGUU
rnacentral:rRNA from 1 species